rnacentral:tRNA from 1 species
GCCCGAGUGGCGGAACUGGUAGACGCAUGCGACUCAAAAUCGUAUGUCCAUAGGACGUGGGGGUUCGAGUCCCCCCUCGGGUA